rnacentral:rRNA from 1 species
AUAUCAAUAAGCGGAGGAAAAGAAACUAGCAAGGAUUUCCCUAGUAACGGCGAGUGAACCGGAAAUAGCCCAACUUGAAAAUCUCCCACUGGAGAAUUGUAGUCUAGAGAAGCGCCCUCAGCAGCGAGCAGAGCUUAAGUGCGCUGGAAGGCGACGUCAGAGAGGGUGAGAACCCCGUCGCUCCCGCUUUAGCUGCCCCACGAGGUGCUUUCCACGAGUCGGGUUGUUUGGGAAUGCAGCCCAAAAUGGGAGGUAAAUCCCUUCUAAGGCUAAAUAUUGGCGAGAGACCGAUAGCGCACAAGUA